rnacentral:rRNA from 1 species
GACGAACGCUGGCGGCGUGCUUAACACAUGCAAGUCGAACGGAAAGGCCCUGCUUUUGUGGGGUGCUCGAGUGGCGAACGGGUGAGUAACACGUGAGUAACCUGCCCUUGACUUUGGGAUAACUUCAGGAAACUCGGGCUAAUACCGGAUAGGAUCUCCUGCUGCAUGGUGGGGGUUGGAAAGUUUCGGCGGUUGGGGAUGGACUCGCGGCUUAUCAGCUUGUUGGUGUGGUAGUGGCUUACCAAGGCUUUGACGGGUAGCCCGCCUGAGAGGGUGACCGGGCACAUUGGGACUACGAUACGGACCAGACGCGUACGGGAGGCAGUAGUGGAGAAUAUUGCGCAGUGGGGGGAAGCCAGAUACAACAGCGCCGCGUGCGGGAUGACGGCCUUCGGGUUGAAAACCGCUUUCGCAUGUGACGAAGCGUGAGUGACGGUAAUGGGUAAGAAAGCACCGGCUAACUACGUG